CCUACGGGCGGCUGCAGUGGUGAAUAUUGGACAAUGGGGGGAACCCUGAUCCAGCCAUGCCGCGUGUGUGAAGAAGGCCCUCGGGUUGUAAAGCACUUUCAGUGAGGAAGAACGCCUGGUGGUUAAUACCCAUCAGGAAAGACAUCACUCACAGAAGAAGCACCGGCUAACUCCGUGCCAGCAGCCGCGGUAAUACGGAGGGUGCGAGCGUUAAUCGGAAUUACUGGGCGUAAAGCGCGCGUAGGUGGCUUGAUAAGCCGGUUGUGAAAGCCCCGGGCUCAACCUGGGAACGGCAUCCGGAACUGUCAAGCUAGAGGGCAGGAGAGGAAGGUAGAAUUCCCGGUGUAGCGGUGAAAUGCGUAGAGAUCGGGAGGAAUACCAGUGGCGAAGGCGGCCUUCUGGACUGACACUGACACUGAGGUGCGAAAGCGUGGGUAGCAAACAGGAUUAGAUACCCGUGUAGUC
rnacentral:rRNA from 1 species